GACAUGCCACUGCGGCACCGAGCGGUCUAAGGCGCUGGAUUAAGGCUUCAGAGGUGUGGGUUCGAAUCCCACCGCUGUCA